rnacentral:lncRNA from 1 species
CGUCACCUAAGCCACGCUACUACAGACUUUGAUCUUGCAACCCUAAAGCUGCAUACUUGAAACUUUUCCUUCCUCUUUAGCAGUCCCUCAUUUGUUAAAAAGGUGCCGCCCCCUUAUUCUCAAAGGCGGCAAGAAAAAGUUGCAACCUCUUCAUGAAUGAUUGAUUAAAAGAGACAAGUUCUUCUCAGUGUAGAGCAUGGCUACAAAACGAGGGAUGGAGUUCCUAAUUGUUGAUUAGGGGUUGUGUUACUCGAUUAAAGGAUUACUGUGGAAAUCUGAUUCUCCGAUAUUAGUGUAAAUUUGAUUCUCCUACAUUAGUGCUUAAUUUAUUUUAGGAAUAUUUCUGAUUUACUCUU